UGUUUUACUUUCCUGAUGGAUGCAAUGUUUUGUAGAUUGAGGCUGCUAGAUCAGGACUUCAGGCCUCACUCCUGAUCAAACACCCAGAGACUGCGGAACUGUUUGUUAACUUUGACCCCCAAAUUCUGACCAUGGUGAGGGAGACUGAGUGCAUGGCCAGGCUGGGACUGGAGAUUCCUCCACUGGCCAUCACAAUGAGAGCCAAGCAGACUGAGUACAAAGACAACUACAGUGCACUGCAGAUGCUACUGCAAGAGAAUAAGAGGGUGAGGAAGUAAGAUCCCCACAGCCUUUGAGAGUUUGAUGGGUCCACAUGUUAGUAAAGUGGACAAGAGACUGGAGCCGGGCCUGAGCAAGCUUUCCUGGACCUCUCUCAACAUCCAGGAGUACAUCCAGGAAGUGUACAGUGUUCUGGGAGAACUGGAGCUCCUGAUGGACCGCGCCCACUGACCUGAUGGAGUUCCGGAUCGACGCCGUCCUGAAGGAGAUGUCCACCACCAAGCUGUGUCAGCUUCCAGAGGACGAGCCCUGGCUGUGUGACGCCUUCCUGGAGAACACCCAGAUGCUGUGUGCCAAAGGAGCUGUGGCCUUGCAGACAAAGUCUCUGGUGGUGGAGGAAGCGGCCAAUGAACUGAUCAACAUGUUGUGUCCUGUUGAUUUCGAGGAUGAAGAUGAGAAGAUUGAGAUGGAAGAAGAUGAAGAAGAACAACGAAGCCAGGCUGGUAGUCCCACUGGAUCCCAGGGAGCUAGGACCAGCAGCAGGAAGUCUCGCCCUGUGUCUUCUAAAGCUCAUCUAGUGGCCAAGAAGAAGCGAGAAAUGAGAGAGAACAUCGAGGAGGCAGCCAAUGAGCUGCUGGCUCACUUCAACCACAGGAACCAGGAUGCCCUGAUGAAGGUCACCAAGAAUACCCUGGAAUCUCUACGGAAACGAAUCACCUCUAGCUCGAUGGUCCACUACCUGGGAGAUUCUGGAGGCUUUGGUGAUGCUAAGAAAGACAGUGGCCCCUUCUUUAAGACCUUCGCUACUUUGGCCAUCCCAAACAUUGUAAUGCAGCCUGCAUUAGAUGAGGUUCAACAGACUGUCAACAAAGCUGCUCAGAUGAUCAUCUCUGUCAGUAAAGGCGUGGCUAAAUGGAGUGAGGAGAGAAAACGACCUCAGAAAUCGGCAGUAGACCGUGAGCAUGCUGUGGCAGCCGAUCGCAGACAGAGUGUGGUCAGUGCUGCCUCUGAUGCUGCUGGAGAGAAGAAGGAAGAGGAAACUGAGAUGAAGAACUACACCAUCACCCAGCAGGCCAAGAACUACUUCAAGGCUGUGUCCGAGAACAAGGAAGUCACCAAGCUGGUGUCCCUUCUCUCCACAUCCAUCAACUCCACCAAAAAGGAGGUGACUACUGCCCUGGACCGAUUCUCUGGCUAUCACCCAAUCUGGGAAAAAGACAGAGAGGAUGACCUUGUGGAGUUCAACAAGGAGGAUCCCAAGCUGUCGGAGUACGAGGCCAAGAUCAAGCACUACGAGGAGCUGGAGGUGGAGAUCAACGGACUGCCCGAGUUCUACGAUGUCGGCCCUAUCGCCCUGUACACAGAGAACCUGAAGCUUGGUUUGACAACAGAAACCAAAGCAUGGAAGCUCCACUAUGGCAAAGCCUGUAACCAGAAAUAUAGCAUGGAGAUGGAGAGGAUCUUCACCUUUAUUGAGGACCUCACCAAGCGCCUGUCUCGGCCCCUCAAGGACCUCGAUGAUAUCAGGUUCGCCAUGGCAGCCCUUAAAGAAAUUCGAGAUGAUGAAAUCAGGAUUGACAUGUUGAUUGGUCCAAUUGAGGAGUCCUAUGCCAUGCUAAUCAAGCAUGACCUGCCGGUCAAUAAGGAAGAGACAGAGAACCGCAGUUCAAGUCGGAACUUAUCGAAAACUGUCAAAACCUUCAAUACGGACUGCAGUGACUUCUACAGCACAUACGACACGCAAGGACCAAUGUGUGCUGGAGUUCCCCCUCGCGAGGCCUCUGACAGACUCAUCAUCUUCCAGAACAACUUUGACGUCCUUUACAAGAAGUUCAUCACUUACACUGGGGGAGAGGAACUGUUCGGUCUGCCUGUGUCAGAUUAUCCCAAGCUCGGACAGAUUAAGAAGGAGCUGAAUUUGCUCCAGAAGCUGUACAGCUUGUACAACAAUGUUCUGGAGACUGUGCAUGGAUAUUAUGACAUUCUGUGGGCAGACAUUAACAUUGAGAAAAUCAACAAUGAACUGCUUGAAUUCCAGAACAAGUGUAGGAAACUUCCCCGUGCCUUAAAGGACUGGCCUGCCUUUGAAGACUUGAAGAAAACAAUUGACAACUUUAAUGAGAUGGUGCCUCUUCUUGAGCUGAUGACAAACAAGGCCAUGAAGCCGCGUCACUGGAAUAGGAUGGCUGAGGUUACAAGUCACGUGUUCGACGUGGAGAGUGACAACUUUGCUCUUAAGAACAUUCUGGAAGCCCCACUUCUUGAGUUCAAGGAAGAAAUUGAGGAUAUCUGUAUCUCAGCCGUCAAGGAGAAGGACAUUGAAGCCAAACUGAAACAGGUCAUUGCCGACUGGAACAACAAGGAAUUUACCUUCGCUCAAUUCAAAAACAGAGGAGAGUUACUGCUCAGGGGAGACAACACCUCAGAAAUUGUCUCACUUAUGGAAGACUCUCUCAUGGUUCUCAGCUCCCUGCUCAGCAACAGGUACAAUGCUCCCUUCAAGAAGAAUAUUCAGCUCUGGGUGCAGAAUUUGACCAACUCCUCUGAGAUCAUUGAGAACUGGAUGACUGUUCAGAACCUUUGGGUAUACUUGGAGGCUGUAUUUGUUGGUGGGGACAUUGCCAAACAGCUGCCCAAGGAAGCCAAACGUUUCAGCAACAUUGACAAGUCGUGGAUCAAGAUCAUGACCAGGGCCCAUGAGACGCCCAAUGUAGUGCAGUGUUGUGUGGGAGACGAGACCCUGAUGCAGCUCCUGCCCCACCUCCUGGAACAGCUAGAGCUCUGUCAGAAGUCACUCACUGGAUACCUUGAAAAGAAGCGUCUGUUGUUCCCCCGAUUCUUCUUUGUGUCUGACCCCGCUCUGCUGGAGAUCCUGGGUCAGGCUAGCGACCCCCACACCAUCCAGGCCCACUUGCUGUCAGUGUUUGACAAUCUCAAGACUGUAAAGUUCCACGAAAAAUUCUACGACCAGAUUCUGGCCAUUUACUCCUCAGAAAACGAAACUAUUGAUCUUGAGAAGCCUGUGAAGGCUGAAGGUAAUGUGGAGAACUGGCUGAUGUCUCUCAUGUUGAUGGCCCAGAAGUCUCUGCAUGGAGUCAUCCGGACGGCGGCCAUGUCUAUCCAGGAUAGCAGCUUCCAGCUUCUGGAGUUCCUCAACAUGUUUCCUGCCCAGGUUGGAAUCCUGGGUAUCCAGAUGAUCUGGACCCGUGACUCUACAGAGGCACUGACCCACGCCCGCUACGACAGGAAGAUCAUGCAGCAGACAAACCAGGCGUUCCUGGACCUGCUGAACAUCCUGAUUAACCAGACCACACAGGACCUGACCAAGGUGGAGAGGACAAAGUUUGAGACCCUCAUCACUAUUCACGUCCACCAGAAGGACAUCUUCGAUGACCUGUGCCGCAUGCAUGUGAAGUCACCCACAGACUUUGAAGUGGCUGAAGCAAACGAGUUCCUGGGAUGUACCGAGCGUCUUGUCAUUACCCCUCUUACUGACAGAUGUUACAUCACCCUGGCUCAGGCCCUUGGAAUGUCAAUGGGAGGAGCUCCAGCUGGUCCCGCCGGGACAGGGAAAACAGAGACCACCAAAGACAUGGGUCGCUGUCUAGGUAAAUAUGUGGUCGUCUUCAACUGCUCCGAUCAGAUGGACUUCAGAGGUUUGGGUCGUAUCUACAAAGGUCUUGCCCAGUCUGGGUCAUGGGGAUGCUUUGAUGAGUUCAAUCGUAUUGACUUGCCUGUGUUGUCUGUGGCUGCCCAGCAGAUUGCUAUUGUGUUAGGCGCCAAGAAGGAGAGAAAGAAGGCCUUCAUCUUUACAGAUGGUGAUAAUGUGACUCUGAGUCCAGAAUUCGGAAUCUUUUUGACAAUGAAUCCUGGUUAUGCUGGUCGUCAGGAGUUGCCAGAAAAUCUGAAGAUCAACUUCCGUACUGUGGCCAUGAUGGUCCCUGACAGACAGAUUAUCAUCCGUGUCAAACUUGCCUCUGUCGGUUUCCUUGACAACAUCACGCUGGCCAGGAAAUUCUACACCCUGUACAAACUCUGUGAAGAGCAGCUCACAAAACAGGUGCAUUAUGACUUUGGUCUCAGAAACAUUCUGUCAUGUCUGAGAACCCUGGGUACUGUCAAGAGACAGAAUAAGGAUGACCCCGAGGCCAUGAGUGUGAUGAGAGUGUUGAGAGACAUGAACCUUUCUAAGCUUGUGGACCAAGACGAACCCCUCUUCCUGUCCCUGAUCAACGAUUUGUUCCCAGGAAUUACCUUGGACAAGGGAGGUUAUCCCGACCUGGAAGGAGCCAUAGCCAGACAGAUUGAUGAAGCUAAACUAGUGGCCCAUCCUCCAUGGACACUGAAACUCAUCCAGCUGUUUGAGACCCAGAGAGUGCGUCACGGUAUGAUGACCCUGGGACCCAGCGGAGCAGGAAAGACCUGCUGUAUCCAUAUUCUGAUGAAGGCUAUGACGGAUUGUGGAGAACCCCACAAGGAACUGAGGAUGAACCCCAAGGCUAUCACCGCCCCCCAGAUGUUUGGUCGACUAGACGUAGCCACUAAUGACUGGACUGACGGAAUCUUCUCAACUCUGUGGAGAAGGACCCUCAGAGCCAAGAAAGGUGAACACAUCUGGUUGGUGCUGGACGGGCCUGUGGAUGCUAUCUGGAUCGAGAACUUGAACUCUGUGCUGGAUGACAACAAGACUCUGACCCUGGCUAAUGGGGACCGUAUCCCCAUGGCCCCCAACUGCAAGAUCAUCUUUGAGCCCCACAACAUUGACAAUGCCUCCCCCGCCACUGUCUCCAGGAACGGUAUGGUCUACAUGUCCAGCUCUGGCCUGGAUUGGAAACCAAUUCUACAGUGCUGGCUGAACUCUCGACCUGUCAAUGAGCAAGCCAUUAUCAUGGACCUGUUUGAGCGCUCAUUCCCGUUAGUGCUGCAGUAUGCCGUUCAGAACCUGACCUUUAAGAUGGAGGUCCUGGAAGCCUUCAUCAUCUCACAGGCCUGCAAGCUGCUGGAGGGACUGAUCCCCUCGAAGGACGACAAGGACUCGGGCUCGGUCAGCCAGUCCCACUAUGAACACUUGUACAUCUUCACUCUGAUGUGGACCAUCGGUGCCUUCCUGGAGUGGGACGACAGGAUUAAGGUGGAGGAAUUCAUGAGAAGCAAUGAUGACAUUGUAUUGGACCUGCCACCCACAAACAGGGACGCAGACGAGACAAUGUUUGAUUACAUGGUGGAUACCAAUGGCCAGUGGCAGCACUGGAGCAAUAAAGUGGAGCCUUACCAUUACCCAACAGACAGCACCCCAGAAUACGGCUCCAUUCUUGUUCCCAUGGUGGACAAUGUCCGUACAGAAUUUCUCAUCAACACCAUCUCCAAACAAGGCAAGGCCGUCCUCCUGAUUGGAGAGCAGGGUACCGCCAAGACUGUGAUGAUCAACGGUUACAUGGGCAAAUACAACCCAGAGUACCAUCUGGGUCAGUCACUCAACUUCUCAUUCUGCCACCACUCCUCUCAUGUUCCAGAGAACAGUGGAAAGUUAUGUGGACAAGAGAGUGGGCAGUACCUAUGGUCCACCUGCUGGUAAGAAGAUGACAAUAUUUGUUGACGACAUCAACAUGCCAGUCAUCAAUGAGUGGGGAGACCAGAUCGCUAACGAGAUUGUCAGACAACUGAUGGAGUACAAAGGAUUUUACAACCUGGAGAAACCAGGAGAUUUCACCAACAUUGCUGAUGUCCAGUUCUUGGCAGCCAUGAUUCAGCCAGGAGGAGGGAGAAAUGACAUUCCUCAGAGAUUGAAGAGACAGUUUGUGAUCAUUAACUGUACCCUUCCCUCCAACCCGUCCAUCGACAAGAUCUUCAGCUGUAUCGGGUGUGGUCACUACAUCACAGACAGAGGAUUCGCGAAGGAUGUGAUCGACAUGACGGCUAAACUGGUUCCCAUCACGAGACGACUCUGGCAGCUCACAAAGAUCAAGAUGUUGCCAACUCCAGCCAAGUUCCACUACAUUUUCAACUUGCGUGACUUGUCCAGAAUCUGGCAGGGUAUGAUCAACACGGAGUGUAGCGUGAUUAAAUCAGAGAAAGAACUGCUCUGGCUCUGGAAGCAUGAAUGUAGCCGUGUCAUUGCUGACAGAUUUACAAACUUUGAGGACCAGGCAUGGUUCAAUAAGACCAUGUCUCGUGUCAUUAAUGAGGAACUGAGCGAGACCCACGGAGCAAUGGUCGAUUCGACCCAUUAUUUUGUUGACUUCAUGAAAGAUGCCCCUGAAGCCACAGGUGAUGAGCCAGAAGAUACUGACUUUGACAUGCCAAAGAUCUAUGAACCGAUUCCCAGCUUUGAAGUCCUGGAAGAAAGGCUACAGAUGUUCUUACAACAGUACAAUGAGGGAAUCCGAGGAUCAGGAAUGGACCUGGUGUUCUUCAAGGAUGCCAUGAUACAUCUGGUGAAGGUGUCCAGGAUCAUCCGCACCCCCAGGGGUAACGCCCUCCUUGUGGGGGUGGGAGGGUCGGGCAAACAGUCCCUCACCAAGCUGGCUUCCUUCAUUGCCGGCUACAAGACGUUCCAAAUCACUCUCACAAGGUCGUACAAUGUGUCCAACCUGCUGGAAGACCUGAAAGUACCUGUACCGUACGGCUGGUGCUCAGGGCAAGGGAAUCACCUUCAUCUUCACUGACCAGGAGAUCAAGGACGAAGCUUUCCUGGAGUACCUCAACAACGUUCUCUCCUCAGGAAUCGUAAGUGACCAUGGGAUUCACUCAGAGCUACAUCCUUCUGCCAACAAAAUAUUCUACGUCUAUCAUCAAUGUGAAAUGUUAGUACCUGGGAGUUUUCUUUGUUUUGACAGGUAGCUAACUUGUUUGCCAGAGAUGAGAUGGAUGAGAUCAUGGGAGAACUUAUCCCUAUCAUGAAGAAAGAGUUUCCAAGGCGACCACCAUCCAAUGAAAAUUUGUACGACUACUACCUUACCAGAGUCCGAAACAAUCUCCACGUCGUAUUGUGUUUCUCCCCUGUUGGAGAGAAGUUCCGAGCAAGAGCCCUGAAGUUCCCCGGACUGAUCUCCGGAUGUACGAUGGAUUGGUUCCAGCGCUGGCCGAAGGAUGCUCUUAUUGCCGUGGCUGACCACUUCCUGUCCAACUUUAACAUCGAAUGCACCGCAGAGGUCAAGAAACAGGUCAUCCAAACCAUGGGUCUGAUCCAUGACGGAGUGGCAGAAUCCUGUGUCAGCUACUUCCAGAGAUACCGUCGCUCAACACAUGUGACUCCAAAGUCCUACUUAUCUUUCAUUAAUGGUUACAAGACAAUUUACUCCGACAAGAAAAAUGAAAUAGGAGAACUUGCAGAGAGAAUGAACACUGGUUUAGAGAAACUGAUCGAAGCUGGACAGCAAGUGGCCUUACUGAAAGAGGAGCUAGCAGUGAAAGAAAAAGAGUUGGCCAUUGCAUCAGAAAAAGCUGAUAAAGUGUUGAAAGAAGUAACAGUCAAAGCACAAGCCGCUGAAAAGGUGAAAGAGCAAGUGCAAAAGGUCAAGGACAAAGCUCAGGGCAUUGUAGAUGCCAUUGAGAGUGACAAGGUCAUUGCCUAUGAAAAGUUGGAGAAGGCUCGCCCAGCUCUUGAGGAGGCAGAGGCUGCCUUGAACACCAUCAAACCAGCUGAUAUCGCCACUGUCCGAAAACUGGGUAAGCCCCCUCAUCUCAUCAUGAGGAUCAUGGACUCUGUACUGCUCUUGUUCCAGAAGAGGGUCAAUACAGUGGAAAUGGACCCAGAGAGACCUUGUAUUAAACCAUCAUGGGGUGAAGCUCUUAAGCUUAUGUCAGGAACCAACUUCCUGCAGACCUUGAUAAACUUCCCCAAGGACUCGAUCAAUGAUGAGACCGUGGAGCUGCUGGAUCCCUACCUCUCACAGGAGGACUACACCCUGGAGGUCGCCAAGCGUGUCUGUGGUAAUGUGGCUGGUCUCCUCUCUUGGACCAGGUCCAUGGCAGUGUUCUUUGAAAUCAACAAAGAAGUCCUGCCUCUGAAGGCCAACUUGGCAGUUCAGGAAGCCAGACUGCAGGUUGCCAUGGGAGACCUGCAGAAGGCCCAGGCCCAGCUGGAUGAGAAAGAGGCUGAGUUAGCCAAAGUGAGAGAAAUGUAUGACCAGGCCAUGAGAGAGAAACAAACUCUUCUGGAUGAUGCAGAGACCUGUCGCAGGAAGAUGACAGCUGCUGCAGCGCUGAUUAAUGGACUCCAGGGAGAGAGAGACAGAUGGACAGAACAAAGCAAGGAGUUCAGGGCCCAAAUUGGCAGGUUGGUGGGGGAUGUACUGGUUUGCACCGCCUUCUUGUCCUACUCUGGUCCAUUCAACCAGGACUUCAGGCUCCUACUGAACCAGAAAUGGUUCAAGGAAUUAAAGAACCGGAAGAUUCCCUGCACCCUGAACUUGAGUGUUAUCGACAUGUUGACAGACCCCACUGUUAUUGGAGAGUGGAACUUACAAGGCCUGCCUAAUGACGAGCUGUCCACACAGAAUGGUAUCAUUGUGACCAAGGCCUCCAGAUACCCCCUGCUGAUUGACCCCCAGGGCCAGGGCAAGAACUGGAUCAAGAACCGGGAGGCCCAUAGCGAACUCCAGUUGACAUCUUUGAAUCACAAAUAUUUCCGUACCCAUCUUGAGGACUCUAUGUCUCUUGGCCGACCAUUACUGAUAGAGGAUGUAGCAGAAGAACUGGAUCCUGCUUUGGACAAUGUAUUGGAGAAAAACUUCAUCAAGGUCGGUUCAACCUUGAAGGUCAAGGUCGGAGACAAAGGAGUGUGACAUCAUGAAGGGCUUUAGUUUGUACAUCACAACCAAGUUAGGUAACCCAUCCUACACCCCAGAAGUAUCUGCUAAGACGUCCAUCAUUGAUUUCACGGUCACCAUGAAGGGACUUGAGGACCAGCUUCUAGGACGUGUCAUCUUGACAGAGAAAGCUGAAUUGGAAUCUGAGAGAGUGAAGUUGAUGGAGGAUGUGCAGUCCAACAAGAAGAAGAUGAAGGAACUGGAAGACAACUUGCUGUACAGACUGACCAGUACUAAGGGAUCUCUGGUGGAUGAUGAAGAUUUGAUUAACGUGCUGAACACGACCAAAACCACCGCACAGGAUGUCAGCCAGAAACUGCAGGUCGCCGCAGAGACCCAGACAAAGAUUACCGUGGCAAGAGAGGAGUUCCGUCCAGUGGCAGCUCGUGGUAGCAUCCUGUAUUUCCUGAUUGUAGAAAUGGGACUGGUCAACUGUAUGUACCAGACCUCACUCAAACAGUUCCUCUACCUGUUUGACUUGUCCAUGGCCAGGUCGGCAAAAUCUCCAAUCACACAGAAGAGAAUUCAGAACAUCAUUGAUUACAUGACUUUUGAGGUGUUCAAGUAUGCUGUUCGAGGUUUGUAUGAGGAGGACAAGAACACCUUCACUCUGCUCCUUACCCUCAAAAUCGACCUCGCUGCUGGUAAAAUCAAGCACGAGGAGUUCAUGACCCUCAUUAAGGGAGGUGCUUCCCUGGAUCUGAAUGUGGUGCAGCCCAAACCUCACAAAUGGAUUGUGGAUCUGACCUGGCUCAAUCUGGUGGAGCUGAGCAAUCUCCAUCAGUUCUCAGGAAUUCUUGAACAGGUGAGCAGAAAUGAGAAGCAGUGGAGGCAAUGGUUUGACAAAGAGGCUCCCGAGGAGGAAGUAAUUCCCUGAUGGUUACAACAACUCCCUGGACGUGUUCCGUCGCCUGCUGUUGGUCAGAUCCUGGUGUCCCGACAGAACCAUGUCCCAGGCCAGGAAGUACAUUGCUGACACCCUGGGAGACAAGUACGCCGAGGGGGUGAUUCUGGACCUGGAGAAGAUGUGGAGUGAAAGCAACAGCAGAACUCCCAUGGUGUGUCUGCUGUCCAUGGGAUCUGAUCCUACCAACAAUAUUGAGGCCCUGGCCAAGAAACUGAAACUAGAGUGCAGAAACAUCUCUAUGGGACAGGGUCAGGAGGUACAUGCCCGGCGACUGAUGGCCCAGGGCAUGGCUAACGGGGGGUGGCUGCUGCUACAGAACUGUCACUUGUCCCUCGACUAUGUGGAGGAGGUGCUGGACCAGCUGAUAGAGACCGAGACCAUUCACCAAGAGUUCAGGCUCUGGGUCACCACUGAGGUCCAUAAAAAGUUCCCCAUCAACUUCCUGCAGAUUUCAAUUAAAUUCACCAAUGAACCUCCUCAAGGCAUCAAGGCUGGUCUGAAGAGAACGUACGCUGGUCUUAGCCAGGACUUCCUGGACAUAUCCAACAUGCCUCAGUGGAAGCCCAUGCUGUAUGGUGUGGCCUUCAUGCACACAGUGGUGCAAGAGAGAAGGAAGUUUGGACCACUGGGAUGGAAUAUUCCAUACGAGUUCAACGCCGCCGAUUUCAACGCCAGUGUACAGUUUGUACAGAACCAUUUGGAUGACAUGGACAUCAAAAAGGGAGUGAACUGGACCUGUGUCCGCUACAUGUUUGGCGAGAUCCAAUAUGGUGGCCGUGUGACAGACGACUAUGACAAGAGGCUGCUUAACACCUUCUGUAAAGUCUGGUUUGGAGAGAACAUGUUCCAGAGCAACUUCUGCUUCUACAAGGGCUACAUCAUCCCCAAGUGUGCCAAGAUGCAGGAAUACAUGGACUACAUCAAUAACCUGCCUGGUACAGACACCCCUGAGGCCUUCGGACUGCAUGCCAAUGCCGAUAUCACUUACCAGAGCAAGUCUGCAAAGACAGUGUUGGACACGAUUCUGGAGAUCCAGCCCAAGGACAGCAGCGGGGGAGGCAGUGGAGAGACCCGCGAGUCCAUCGUCUACCGUAUCUGUGAUGACAUGUUGGAGAAACUGCCCAAUGACUACGAUCCCUUCGAGGUCAAGGCCUAGACUGGAAAAAAUGGGUCGCCUGCAGCCAAUGAACAUCUUCCUGAAGCAGGAGAUUGACCGCAUGCAGCGCGUCAUCUCUCUGGUGAGGAGCACGCUCAGUGACCUGAAACUGGCUAUUGAUGGUACCAUCAUCAUGAGCGAGUCACUGCGUGAUGCACUGGACUGUAUGUACGAUGCCAGGAUUCCAAAACUGUGGCAGAAGAUUUCAUGGGAUUCCAGUACCCUUGGGUUCUGGUUCACAGAGUUGAUUGACAGAAACGGCCAAUUCCAUACCUGGUGCUUCGAUGGCCGACCUGUUACGUUCUGGAUGACUGGAUUCUUCAACUGCUCAGGGAUUCCUUACAGCAAUGAGACAGGAAGUAACAAGAGCACACAAAGGUUGGGCCUUGGAUGGAGUGAUCCUACACAACGACGUCACCCGCCAAAUGAAAGACGACAUCACUACCCCACCCUCAGAGGGCGUGUACGUGUACGGACUCUUCCUUGAGGGAGCUGGGUGGGACAAGAGGGGCAGCAAACUCAUCGAGCCCAAACCCAAAGUCCUGUUUGAGCCCAUGCCGGUCAUUCACAUUUACGCCAUCAACACCACAUCCGACAAAGAGGACACUCGCAUGUACAAGUGUCCAAUCUACAAGAAACCUCGCAGGACGGACCUGACUUACAUUGCAGCCGUCUUCUUGAAGACCAAUCAGAACCCCGAUCACUGGGUGUUACGCGGUGUUGCUUUGCUCUGCGACAUCAAGUAAAAGGCGUAGCCUAUCAGCAGACUGUAUACCAAACCAAAUUGACUGUUUCCAAAAUGACAGGAUUGAACUGUUCAAGGACAUCCUUAUACUUAUUAUUUUCUCUAGUUAUUGUUGAACAUUUUUGAAGAAUUUUAUCAACAAAUAGGACUAUUUAUACAUUAGAGGAUUAGGACCUAGCUCACUUUUGAGUAAAUCUACAUUUCAUUGCCAGUUUUAUAUUGAUAUAUAAAUAACAUUUUUACACAUUAGAGAUACUGAUAUUUCUUACUGUUUCCGUCCAUUGCUUUGUAUGUUGAAUUGACCAGUCAGUUUUGUUACUUAUAAAAGUUUAAAUCUGGACGUAGAUGUUACAUUUUAUGUGUCCCAACAUUACUACCUUGUGUUGCACUUUAAUAUAUUGCUUGAAGGUAUUGCAAAAAUCAGCAACUUCAAAAUUGAAAAUGUUAAUUUACAGUAUUCAACUUUCUGAACUGAUUCUGGUAAUUAAAUCUGUUCCUAUCUGGUUCACCCACCGAGCUUGAGAUAUCAAACUUGACAGUAAAACAUUUUGUAUGGAUAACAAGCAUAGAAUAGUAUUAACUUAUUAGCAUUACGAGACUUUGAUCCAAAGAGCUGUGAUAAGUUGGCCAACGACCUUUACUUGGUCAUGUGAUCUAGUUGCCGUCCAUUUCUUUAACCUUUCAGUGCAUUUAUGUUGUUAUUUCAUAGAGAAUAUUUAUUUCAUAGAUAAUAUUUAUUUCUUUUUUUUGAUUAGAGACAGAUUUUCCCCUGAGCUUCUUUAUAUUUGUAGCAUUUGUUUAUGAAUUUAUCUGAUUUUCACAUCUUGUGGUGAAAUGUUCGCAUUAUUUUAUACCAAUGUUUUCAGCCAACUACUUGAGUAGUUCUGUUAGAUAAUAAACUUUAUUAAUAAUCCCUGCUUUCCGUGUUGUGAACCCCUUUGAUGUCAGUUCAUGGCGUUACUACGUAUUUAUGCCGGUACUGAAUCGCUUCAACUUUUGAUGUGUCUGCACUUUAGACAGGUUAUAAUCUGUCGUAGGGAAUUGUAUUAAGACGGAGCACCAUCCCAAUGAAUAUACAGUCACUCACAAAGUGUACACAAGAAUCUCUGGGAUCAACAGAAUUAUGCUGCACUUGUUGAACCAAUCAUUUACAUGAAUGCAAAGAUAUUGUUUGACUUUGCUAUGUUUACACAACAUUAUGAGAGUUAUGAAAACCACACAGAAAAUGAUUGCCCCAAAUUAAAUAUUGUCUUUUCCCUCAGGUUAAUUAGAUGUUGCGAUACCUUAAUUUUAUACAUUUAAGUUCAUCUUGAAUGCGCAGAAA
rnacentral:sRNA from 1 species